AUGGCUGCGGUAUGUGCCGAGCCAGAGUUUGUGCUUAAUGAAAAAUUAGGUCGUUCAAGCGGCCGAGGCGCCUUUCGUGCAGCGGGGCGUUUGUGCGCCGAAAAUCUUUGUGUGCUUCAUCUUCCACCUUUGUUUGUGCGAGUGAGAGAAAGUGAGUGCAACAACAGUUUUGCCCAUGCACCAGUUGGUGUGUGCCAGGGCAUUGCAACCAACUCAGGUUGCCACUUUGUUCCAAGCCUGAAUGGCAAGCAGUCAUUCCCAGAAGAGGUGCAAAGAGGUCUCGAGGUUCCUCACACACAGCUGACAGAAGUAGCUAUUGUCCCAACCUCAUCGAUGUAG
rnacentral:rRNA from 1 species